AAGGGGAACAAGAGGGACAAAGGACAAACACAAAUCUCCUAGCUGUGUUUGGAGAUUUGUAUUUGUCCUUUGUCCCUCUUGUUCCCCUUC
rnacentral:pre_miRNA from 1 species